rnacentral:piRNA from 1 species
UGACAUAUGCCGGGCUAGUGAUGGAC